rnacentral:rRNA from 1 species
AUUGAACGCUGGCGGCAGGCCUAACACAUGCAAGUCGAGCGAAGCGGCGGAUGGGUGAGUAACGCGUGGGUACCCUGCCCUUAAGUCUGGGAUACCAUUUGGACAAAGAUGCUAAUCCCGGCUACUAAAGUAUGGACCUUCGAUUCAUUAGCUAGUUGGUAAGCUAACGGCUUACAAAGGCGAUGAUGCAUAGCCGAGUUUAGAGCGUGAUCGGCCACAUUGGGACUGAGACACGGCCCAAACUCCUACGGGAGGCAGCAGUAGGGAAUCUUCCACAAUGGACUAAAGGCUGAUGGAGUAACGCCGCGUGAGUGAAGAAGGUUUUCGGAUCGUAAAGCUCUGUUGUUGGAGAAGCGGUAAUCAACCAGAAAGUCACGGCUAACUACGUGCCAGCAGCCGCGGUAAUAC